GACGAACGCUGGCGGCGUGCCUAAUACAUGCAAGUCGAGCGGAUGGAAGGAAGCUUGCUUCCUAAAGUCAGCGGCGGACGGGUGAGUAACACGUGGGCAACCUGCCCCUAAGAUCGGGAUAACUUCGGGAAACCGGAGCUAAUACCGGAUAUGAUUAUGUCUCACAUGAGACAUAAUGGAAAGACGGUUUCGGCUGUCACUUAGGGAUGGGCCCGCGGCGCAUUAGCUAGUUGGUGAGGUAACGGCUCACCAAGGCGACGAAGCGUAGCCGACCUGAGAGGGUGAGCGGCCACACUGGGACUGAGACACGGCCCAGACUCCUACGGGAGGCAGCAGUAGGGAAUCUUCCGCAAUGGACGAAAGUCUGACGGAGCAACGCCGCGUGAGUGAAGAAGGUUUUCGGAUCGUAAAACUCUGUUGUUAGGGAAGAACAAGUACCAUAGUAACUGAUGGUACCUUGACGGUACCUAACCAGAAAGCCACGGCUAACUACGUGCCAGCCGCCGCUGUAAAAC
rnacentral:rRNA from 1 species